rnacentral:rRNA from 1 species
UGGGGAAUAUUGGACAAUGGGCGAAAGCCUGAUCCAGCCAUGCCGCGUGUGUGAAGAAGGUCUUCGGAUUGUAAAGCACUUUAAGUUGGGAGGAAGGGCAGUAAGUUAAUACCUUGCUGUUUUGACGUUACCGACAGAAUAAGCACCGGCUAACUCUGUGCCGG